ACGCACGCUGGCGGCGUGCUUCACACAUGCAAGUCGCACGGAAAGGCCCUGCUUUUGUGGGGUGCUCGAGUGGCGAACGGGUGAGUAACACGUGAGUAACCUGCCCUUGACUUUGGGAUAACUUCAGGAAACUGGGGCUAAUACCGGAUAGGAGCUCCUGCUGCAUGGUGGGGGUUGGAAAGUUUCGGCGGUUGGGGAUGGACUCGCGACUUAUCAGCUUGUUGGUGGGGUAGUGGCUUACCAAGGCUUUGACGGGUAGCCGGCCUGAGAGGGUGACCGGCCACAUUGGGACUGAGAUACGGCCCAGACUCCUACGGGAGGCAGCAGUGGGGAAUAUUGCACAAUGGGCGGAAGCCUGAUGCAGCAACGCCGCGUGCGGGAUGACGGCCUUCGGGUUGUAAACCGCUUUCGCCUGUGACGAAGCGUGAGUGACGGUAAUGGGUAAAGAAGCACCGGCUAACUACGUG
rnacentral:rRNA from 1 species